CAGCCGCCACGGUAAUACGUAGGUGGCAAGCGUUGUCCGGAAUCAUUGGGCGUAAAGGGCUCGCAGGCGGUUUCUUAAGUCUGAUGUGAAAGCCCCCGGCUCAACCGGGGAGGGUCAUUGGAAACUGGGAAACUUGAGUGCAGAAGAGGAGAGUGGAAUUCCACGUGUAGCGGUGAAAUGCGUAGAGAUGUGGAGGAACACCAGUGGCGAAGGCGACUCUCUGGUCUGUAACUGACGCUGAGGAGCGAAAGCGUGGGGAGCGGACAGGAUUAGAUACCCCUGUAGUCCCUGUCUCUUAUAC
rnacentral:rRNA from 1 species